UUCUAUCUAAUGUCUAUCCCUAUAAAUAUAUGAUUUUAAUGCGUAUAAGGAAAUAUAAAUUAGUUUCCCAAACGGAAUUGGUUUCUUCAUGGAAAAUUUGUAACCGAUUUUUCUCCCCUGUUUCUAGGCUGAUUCGGUUGGAUUUUUGAUAUUGGAUCAUCUCUAAAUUAAAGAAAAUUAUCUAAGCUUCUCGUGGGUUGUAAGAUGAUCCAAUUCUGACUUCUAGAAAUCAAGAUAUGGCCCCAAACAGUGAGUCGUGUGCAAGCAAUCCAACAAAUCCGAAUUUCCUUUUAAUUUAUCUUCAAAUUAAGCUCUUUAUUCCAAUUCCUUCAAACUUUAGGAACUCAUUGCUUCCUACAAUAAAACAUUGAAAUCUAUUAAAUAAAUAUCCAAUUAAAUGCAAAAUACAAUUAAAUAUGAGGAUAAAAUCAUCUAGAAUAUAUGUAAAUAUAUACUCUAUCAAAAAUCCCCACACUUAGCUUUUGUACGUCCUCGGGCAAAUAAAAGAAAGAAAAAUAUCUAUACUAACUACCUAACACCAUUUUCGUAGAUGACACGAUUGCAUUGAGCGAAUGCAACAAGCCGUUAAACCCCUAGGCAACCCUAGUAGGACGAGUUUUGUCUCGUGAGGGUUUAUAGAAGAUAUACCCACAAAAUCCAAUUUUUUCAGCCAAGUCUCAAACAUGCAACUAGUAUGAAUGCAAUCUAAUCUUGAAAGCAUUAACCUCGUCAACAUAUAAUCUUCAGAAUAUGCAACAAUCAAGGGAUUCAUCUAUCUCACAUAUUAGUCAUGCAACUCUUCCACUGCAAGUAUGGAGUGCAUCGUGUGUGCUCAAUAUGCUCUCUAUUGAAAUAAAACAGAGACCAACAAACUUCAAUAGAGUCUUAACCAUGAGCCGUUAAUCAGAAUAGAGCUUAAACACUUCGUGACAUUAGAGUCAACUAUAGCUUAGGGUUACAAAGGAACUUCUAUGCCUCUCUUGUAUUUUUCUUAUCCAUAUUUUUUUUUCUUUUUUCUUUUUUCGCAUACUUGGUCUAAAGUCCGGACGCUUCUCAGGGUAAGUGAGUUACGACCACCAUAAGACUUCGCUAGCUCAUUUUUUUUUCUCUUUUUUUUUGAAGUCAAGUAAUUCUCUAGUAACCAAGGGUAGUGAAAAGUCACAAGGAAUUUAUUUUUUCUAAUACCAUUGCACUUAAUACCAACACACAUACAUGAAUCGUCCCCUUCAUAUGACAUUAUAUUGUCACCCAUUGAUCUCAAAGGAGUAUUUGAUGCUUUAUUUAUAAUAUUCUAUUUUUUCUGUUUUUUAGAAAGGCAUAUACAUCCCACAGCUCCCCCAAACUUAAGAUUCACAUACUCUAAGCUCAAAAGGGAAUAGUCAAAAUUCUGCGCUCGACUCAUAGCAAAGACUCAAGAAUUAAGCUAGCCUAAGUCUCGUCUCUAGAGCAUUUUAUAGUGUAACUAAAAUUUCCGCACAAGCAACUUCUAAGCAUGCAAGACAUCACAUAUGAUCAAGACUACUAGACAAGAAAUUAUGCAAAUAAGCUCAUCACAAGAAAUUAACUUGGUAUUAUAUACUUUCAUGAAUUAUGCAAAUGCAACCUAAAAGAAAA
rnacentral:lncRNA from 1 species